GAUAAAAUAAUGCCAGCAGUUAUUUUUUAACUGAAAAUUAGCACCCUUUUUUUUUUGCUUCAGAACAACAAGAUUUUUUGGCAUCAGAAGUUUUAUAAAAAUGUAUGGGUCCCUGAAGGUGAGACAACAUAGUUUAGUGCUCCCGAAAUAGUGGUCUGUUUCUCAUAGUAUUCGACUAGUACAUGUUGUACUUGUUGAUUUUUUUGCAUCAAAAGUUUUAUAAAAAGGUAUGUUGAUACAAUUUAUAAAUUGUAUGGGUCCAUGAAAGUGAGGCGACAUCAUGUUGUACCAAUGUGUUUCAGUAACAUAUUCAGGAAAAUAUGGUUAUUUUUGAGUGAAACUUAAACAAAAUAAAUUUAAUAUACCUCAAUUUUGUUAUUCGAGUUCACAACCAUUGAUUAUUCCUUCAUCCAAACAGUCUUUUUUCAUUUCAUCACUUUAGUGGUUCAGAACUGCAUUAUUUAGCUGACACCGCCAGCUAUCGGCUUAGACAUACAACAGCAUAGUAACUAAGAAAAUAAAAAUAAAAUCUUGCACAGGACUUUAUAUACUUCAUAUACCCCUGUGGCUGCCUGGGGUUGAGCCCCCCCAAAAGUCAGAACCUAGACUCGCCCCUGGUUGCCAUUAUUGACUCUAGAUCCCUAAAACGUUUUCCAUAUGCAUGGGCUCUUUAUGGUCUUACUGCAACCUUAUGUUUUGAAAAAUAUGUCUCUACUUAUUUCUAAGAAAUUUCUUUUUAGCAAAAAUGUCAAUAUACAUUUUUUUUAGCAACAUUUUCAGUAGCGUCGCCAUUAUUGACUCUAGAGCCCCAACACUUGUUCAAUAGAGGCAUGGCCUAUUUAUGCUCGAGGCACAGACCUUUUCGAUUGUUGUAGUAUUUGGGUUAUGGGAUUUUAAUGUAUAGGGUGGUUGUUGAUAUAAAUAUUUUUUGUUAAAUAAAUGUAAAUAAUGUUUUUAAAGAUUAUACUUACACAUAGAAACCUCCCGGCAGGGUGCGCUUUGCGAGCACACAAAAAAAAUUGCACGCGAAAAACAUUACAUUUCACCUCCGCUGCUGCAACUCCAUCCUAGGGGAAACACUGUAGUUUUGAGAACCAAAAUUAACUCUCUCAGGUAGAAAGCCUAGUGUACAGUAUGUUCAUAUAAUUUAACCCAAGGUACUAUCAAGGAUGCAGUUUUUUUUUACACAUGACCACUAUAAAUACCUCAAGUUAUUAAUACAGAACCUGCCAAGACAAUGUUGAUUUAAUACGACCUCAUACCUUCUGAAUUCAAAACAAAGUACUUCCGUUUCCCUACAACCCAUAUCAGACACAAUGGGUGCCGACAUGACAUGCUCGUCCCUUCUGUGGAUACACUUUUGGCAUGUCACACAGAAUUUCCUAUCUAAUAAUCUAUUGUGGUGCUGUUCCUU